GCAAGUCGAACGAACUAUCUUCGGAUAGUUAGUGGCGAACGGGUGAGGAACACGUAAGAAACCUGCCCCACAGACGAGGAUAACUAUUGGAAACGAUAGCUAAUACUGGAUAUGAUAUCUGAUCGCAUGAUCUAAUAUUUAAAGGUGCUUUCAAGCACCACUGUGGGAUGGUCUUGCGUUGCAUUAGCUUGUUGGUAGGGUAACGGCCUACCAAGGCGACGAUCUCUAGCUGUUCUGAGAGGAAGAUC
rnacentral:rRNA from 1 species